UACGUAGGGGGCAAGCGUUGUCCGGAAUCAUUGGGCGUAAAGCGCGUGUAGGCGGACUGGAAGGUCUGGUGUGAAGGCCCGGGGCUCAACCCCGGGGGGUCACUGGAAACCGACAGUCUUGAGUCCGGAAGAGGAGAGUGGAAUUCCUGGUGUAGCGGUGGAAUGCGCAGAUAUCAGGAGGAACACCUAUGGCGAAGGCAGCUCUCUGGUACGUGACUGACGCUGAGACGCGAAAGCGUGGGGAGCGAACAGG
rnacentral:rRNA from 1 species